AAAAACUCUUGUAAAU
rnacentral:sRNA from 1 species